UCUGCUCACUACAUCCAGGGAGACAUCAUUCCAGCCCAAAGCAGAGGAAGUAAGCAGAUUCUCAAUAUGGAGAAACAGGAGAAUGUUCCUGUUUCUUGAUGAAAACCCCUAGAUGACUGUGCUUGACUUCCUUCUGCUUGUUUUGACAGAGAGUGGUGAUUAGCUCCUGGCAAAUGCUGAGCUCACAGUGGCCCAGUGGUGGGCAUUCCCCUCUUUCCUAGCCAGCAUUAUAAGAGGGAGAACCUCAGCUGGCCAGGAGAGCAAGAGCAGAGCCCAUGAAUGCUUUGUCCUAAGGAAGCCACUGUCAUGCAAGAGGAUUUCAGGGAUUCUCUCCUCCAGCUGCUGCAGCGCACAUUGAUCGCAAAGAAUCCUUCUACCUUCCCCUCCCACCAGUCUUCACAUGUUGUAAAUUCUUGCAGUGGAUUAGAGUGGAUCCUGUUAUCAAAUACAAAGCAGAAAACCAGGGCCUUUUGCCAGGAUUUCUGCUUCCAUGGGUAGAGACCACUGUCCGGCUGUUAGGUUCAAGACUAAGGACACGAAAGUAGGAGAAGAUACAUGUCCUGGCUCCCUUUAUUUUGUGGAUCCUUCCUGGUUAUUUCUUAGAGCCAUGAAGAACACGUUCUUCUCACCUCCUUGCAAGACCAAUCCAGUGAAAAAGAAUGUGCUGCCAUAGUUGCUUUGUUUCCAGAAGUCACAUUAUGAAUCCCCUCCAAAGCUGCUAAGGCUUGAGUGGGGACUACGGUUCUAUUCUGUAGAUUUAGCAUCAAAUCAAGAAAGACAAUCAUAACACAAAAAUAGCACUUCAGCUAAUGAAUAUUCAUUUGCUUGGUAUCCAGUUCUGUAUCGCAGUAACUCAUACUGUAAUACAGCAUGCAAGAUUUUUUUUUAGAAAGCAUUAACAAAGUACAGAGAUCUGUGCAUUUCCUUGGACAAAAAUAAGCCAAACAGUAACAGAAAUAAAAUUCCAGGACAGGUGACAGAAGGUAGAGGAGCAGCAACAGUCUAAAAACCAUUCAGCUGGUGUGGAAUACUGCAAUCAGAAAAGAGACAUUUUGCCUGGCAAACUCUGUGAUUCAGUGUGGCAUGGUUGGGAGUUGCCAAAUACUCCUGUUAAAAAAAACCAUUCCUUGUAGUACUGCUAGGAUUGGAACUUUGGCAUUUCUGUGGUGUUUGUAACUAUUUCAAUUCAGAAAUAAACAUUGGAGAAAUCUA